CCUACGUGAGGCAGCAGUGAGGAAUAUUGGUCAAUGGGCGAGAGCCUGAACCAGCCAAGUCGCGUGAAGGAUGACGGCCCUACGGGUUGUAAACUUCUUUUGUCAGGGAGCAAUUGAGUCCACGUGUGGUCUUAUCGAUAGUACCUGAAGAAAAAGCAUCGGCUAACUCCGUGCCAGCAGCCGCGUGAAUACGGAGGAUGCGAGCGUUAUCCGGAUUUAUUGGGUUUAAAGGGUGCGUAGGCGGAAUAUCAAGUCAGCGGUAAAAAUUCGGGGCUCAACCCCGUCGUGCCGUUGAAACUGAUGUUCUUGAGUGGGCGAGAAGUAUGCGGAAUGCGUGGUGUAGCGGUGAAAUGCAUAGAUAUCACGCAGAACUCCGAUUGCGAAGGCAGCAUACCGGCGCCCAACUGACGCUGAAGCACGAAAGCGUGGGUAUCGAACAGGAUUAGAUACCCCGGUAGUC
rnacentral:rRNA from 1 species